GGGGAUGUAGCUCAGUUUGGGAGAGUACUUGAAUGGCAUUCAAGGGGUCGUGGGUUCGAGUCCCAUUAUCUCCACCA
rnacentral:tRNA from 1 species